GCUACAGGUGCACGACGCAUGGCUGCUCCCUCCUCCUCUGCCUACUACAGGUGGACAUGACCGGACUUUCUUCCGUUGUCAACGCAACUCGACGCAAGACCAGUGCCUUGGUCGCGUGCUCCGGUGUGGUGCAGCCGAGCUGGGCCAACGACCAUGCCGUGUACGAGGGCAAACUCCCCUCCGACAAGACGGCUCCUAGCUCGGGCAAGAACAAGUUCCACCGCCGGUCUGAAACUCGUCCCAACUGGGCAAGGGAUUCUCUCACUACCUUCUAAUUAAGUGAGUAGUCAACAUCUUCAGGGCCCUUUACUCUGCUUUCUUUCUACUUCAAGCAAGGAGAUGAUUUAUAUGCAUCUAAACAAGUAGUUGUCGCUGCACUGCUAUAACAAUCAAUGUACAUGCAUAGCUCUAAGCUCUAGCCUAGUGCUCUACACUGCCUCUGUUUGUCAACAUGCUGAAUAUAUGAACCCAGAAAAUUUUAGAACUUCUCUAUAAAAAUUGGUUGCUAGCUCUGUAUCUCAGCCCCUUCUCAUUUGUUUGUUUGAUUUGGAUGGAGUAGGAGUCAUCCAUGGACGACAUCGACGAUGAGGUCUUGGUCUUGUAUGAUGCGUGUGUGGACAGUGUUGGUCUAUUCAUACGCUAGGGUGUGGCCUGAUGAGGUCUUGGUCUUGUAUGAUGCGUGUGUGGACAGUGUUGGUCACUUACUAGCUAUGGUUCUUUUGCUGCUGGAUAGUUUUAUUUCAAUUUGUACCCCAUCUAAGCCGCUCACUGUUUUCGUUACCUAAUUGCUAUUGGAUGCAGAAAAAUGUGUAAGCUUUAUAUGCCAAAAGGUUAUGCAUUUACUCAUGAAGCAUUUCUUGCAAAUGGAAGAUUUUGGUGUCCAUGAUUAGUGACGAUCCUCAAGUAGGAUGAAUCUUUAGUUUUGAUGGGUCUCAGAUUUACUUUUGUUAAGUUGUGCUUAAUCUGAGCAUGUUCCACGUAAUGCAAUGGACUGUUCCAAGGGAUGGGCGCUGCUGCAAGGCCCAUCUUUAUCUUUGCUCUUGUGCAUGAUGGAUGGUCAAGGACUAGUUAAGUAGCUCAUUUUGCGACCAAAUGAAUGGUCUUCCAGUUUGGUAUCUCUAAAUGAUGAUUACAUAUUAGCGUGUUCUUCAGUUUGGGAUAUACAUUUAUGUGUAAUAGUGAAUUAUGUCUUGGAAGGCAUGUUACUUAUUUCCUGUUGGUUCAUUGGACAUCGCAUGACAAUCUCUAAGAAGGUUGUCCAUUUACUGAUCAAUCAUUUCUUGCAUGAUUUUGUUGUUGAUGAUUAGUGUUGAACCUCAUAUGUCCUCGGCAAUUCAUUUCCAUUAUAAUCUUACUCAUACAAUAUUCAAACCAUGUAAUUCUGGAAAUAUAUGCUCAUAUCUAA